rnacentral:rRNA from 1 species
UACGUAGGGUGCAAGCGUUAAUCGGAAUUACUGGGCGUAAAGCGUGCGCAGGCGGCUAUGCAAGACAGAUGUGAAAUCCCCGGGCUCAACCUGGGAACUGCAUUUGUGACUGCAUGGCUAGAGUACGGUAGAGGGGGAUGGAAUUCCGCGUGUAGCAGUGGAAAUGCGUAGAUAUGCGGAGGAACACCGAUGGCGAAGGCAAUCCCCUGGACCUGUACUGACGCUCAUGCACGAAAGCGUGGG